rnacentral:lncRNA from 1 species
AGGGGCGCCGUCGGUAGUUGGUUGGUACGGUACCCGGUCGGCUGCCGGCUGGUCGCAGUGGUUUUUGGUGGUGAGUGGCGGCUAAGUGGGCCGCGACGCUGGGUAUUUUUUUAAGGGUCUGUUUAGAUUGGGGAUGAAAAUUUUUUAGGUGUCACAUUGGAUGUGUUGGAAGGAUUUCGGGAGGGAUUUUUAGAAACUAAUAAAAAAACAAAUUACAUAGCU